GCUCGAGGAUGGGACUGCGGCCUAUCAGGCUGUUGGUGGUGUAACGGACCACCAAACCUACGACGGGUAUGGGCAAUGGGAGUUGGAGCCCAGAGAUGGGGACUGAGACAAGGCCCCAGGCCCUACGGGGCGCAGCAGGCGCGAAAACUUCGCAAUGCGCGAAAGCGUGACGAGGGAACCCCAAGUGCCGUUGGUCUUUUGAUCGACGGCUUUUCGGGAGUCUAAGAAGCUUCCAGAAUAAGGGCUGGGCAAGACUGGUGCCAGCCGCCGCGGUAAUACCAGCAGCCCAAGUGGUGGUCGCGUUUAUUGGGCCUAAAGCGCUCGUAGCCGGGCUUGCAAGUCCCUUGUGAAAUCGGACGGCUCAACCGUUCGGCGUGCAAGGGAUACUGCCAGUCUUGGGAUCGGGAGAGGUCGGGGGUACUUCGGGGGUAGCGGUGAAAUGCUGUAAUCCCUGGGGGACCACCAGUGGCGAAGGCGCCCGACCAUAACGGAUCCGACGGUGAGGGGCGAAGGCUAGGGGAGCGAACGGGAUUAGAUACCCCGGUAGUCCUAGCAGUAAAGGAUGCGGGCUGGGUGUCAGGCGCCCUUCGAGAGCGCCUAGUGCCGUAGGGAAGCCGUUAAGCCCGCCGCCUGGGAAGUACGGUCGCAAGGCUGAAACUUA
rnacentral:rRNA from 1 species